rnacentral:lncRNA from 1 species
CCAUUUUACACUUGCUUUAAUUUCCAUUCCCUGUAGCUUCAGGCAGAUUUGCAAAGGCAAAUUAUAAAAUUGGAUUAUUACUACGAAACUGUUAGUCCUAGUUAUCUAAGCAGAUCUUCUCUUGGAGGAUUUGACAUCACUGACAAGCCUCAGCAAACCCAAAGAUGCUAACAGUAUUUGAGAAGUUGCUACAGACUCCUUUGGCCACUGUACUUGCUAGUUUACAAUUUGAAGGUACAAGGAAGAGUUUAAAGGAAAAAAAAGAUCAGUUUUUGUUCUUAAAAAUGCAUUUAAGUUGUAAACAUCUUUUUAAGCCUUUGAAGUGCCUAUGAUUCUAUGUAACUUGUUGCAGACUGGUGUUAAUGAGUAUAUAUAACAGUUUUUAAAAAGUUG